UCAGAUUCAUGAAGUUUUACUCAACUUCCAGGGCAUACCAAGUUGUGCUCAACAAGUCGGCGCCCGCGAGUGUGGCUAUUACGUUAUGAAGUUCAUGCAUGAAAUAGUCACGUUACACCAUAACUCUGAUGAGCGGUUAGAUAAUGCUUACACUCCAAGAAAUGCGCCUUAUACCGAUGAGGAAAUAGAUGUGGUUCGUGAGCAAUGGGCUAAGUUUUUUACAACCGAGUAUUUAUUUACUUAGGUUGUUUAGACACAAAGAUGGAAGCGUUUAUAUCUUCAUGGAUUUGGUAAAGUUCUUUAAUUUUUCCAUAAUUACAAGUCUGCUGGAUUUGCUAAUUUAUUGCUUUGAAUACUAAUAUGCUGGUCUUGCUGCUGCUGUGAAUCUAUUGAUGUGUAUGAAUAUUAUGCUAUUAAUGACUGCUGCAAUUCUGCUUGCUGCUGUGUGUUUCUCCUAUGUUUGCUUCUGUUGCUGCUCUGUAUGUAAUCAUUUGGCCUAUUUGGGAAAUUCUUCAAAGCUUGAACCAGUUUGCUGCUGCCCGUUUUAACAACUAUGUUAUCCACCUGAUGUUGCCUAGCAUAAGUUAAGCCCUUCAAUACUGCUAAUGCCUCAGUUUGCAGUUUACUAUGAGUGUAAAUACAUUCACUUCCUUCAUGGGUGGUCCCUUGUUCACGAACAAGAAGCCAACCAACAGCAGCUCUAUCAUUCUUUAUUCUCUUGCUUGCUUUCCAUGCACCAUCAACUAGAAGUAUAUCUGAUUGUA